CCUCAGACUAGCUAAGUAUUCCAUUUUACGUCUCCAUUUAUACUUUUGUUAUACUUGGGAUUGUACAUUAUUUUAUCUGAUUUUCUUAUCAACAGUCAUUACUGUGUCUCUCGGAGUGUUGUCUUUCCCAUUUUCCCUGCCCUUCUCCUUUGGGGCCUCCCUUUUUCCCUGCUCACAUUCUUCUCCCUUACCGAGUUACCACUUCCCAGGCCUCCUGCUCGACCGUCCACACUGUUUCUGUAUUAGACCUGCAGAUGGCCUUGGGCCGCGGUCUUCGCCAUUCUCGGAGGCAUGCAAAUUUUUCUAGGCUGCAGUUUUUCCCCUCUGAC